rnacentral:rRNA from 1 species
UACAGAGGCCCCAAGCGUUGUUCGGAUUCACUGGGCGUAAAGGGUGCGUAGGCGGCCGGGUAAGUCUGAUGUGAAAUCUCACAGCUUAACUGUGAAACUGCAUUGGAUACUAUCCGGCUCGAGGAAUGGAGGGGAGACUGGAAUACUUGGUGUAGCAGUGAAAUGCGUAGAUAUCAAGUGGAACACCAGUGGCGAAGGCGAGUCUCUGGACAUUUCCUGACGCUGAGGCACGAAAGCCAGGGGAGCAAACGGG